GACGGGGGGGGCAAGUGUUCUUCGGAAUGACUGGGCGUAAAGGGUGCGCAGGCGGCCAAGUGUGUGAGGCGUGAAAGCCUGGAGCUUAACUCCAGAAUUGCACCUCAAACUACUCGGCUAGAGCAUUGGAGAGGGUAGCAGAAUUCAUGGUGUAGCAGUGAAAUGCGUAGAUAUCAUGAGGAAUACCAGAGGCGAAGGCGGCUACCUGGACAAUUGCUGACGCUCAGGCACGAAAGCGUGGGGAGCAAAAGGG
rnacentral:rRNA from 1 species